rnacentral:tRNA from 2 species
GCGCCCUUAGCUCACCUGGAUAGAGCAACUGCCUUCUAAGCAGUAGGUGACAAGUUCGAAUCUUGUAGGGCGUA